AUUGAACGCUGGCGGCAGGCCUAACACAUGCAAGUCGAGCGGAUGAGUGGAGCUUGCUCCAUGAUUCAGCGGCGGACGGGUGAGUAAUGCCUAGGAAUCUGCCUGGUAGUGGGGGACAACGUUUCGAAAGGAACGCUAAUACCGCAUACGUCCUACGGGAGAAAGCAGGGGACCUUCGGGCCUUGCGCUAUCAGAUGAGCCUAGGUCGGAUUAGCUAGUUGGUGGGGUAAUGGCUCACCAAGGCGACGAUCCGUAACUGGUCUGAGAGGAUGAUCAGUCACACUGGAACUGAGACACGGUCCAGACUCCUACGGGAGGCAGCAGUGGGGAAUAUUGGACAAUGGGCGAAAGCCUGAUCCAGCCAUGCCGCGUGUGUGAAGAAGGUCUUCGGAUUGUAAAGCACUUUAAGUUGGGAGGAAGGGCAGUAAGUUAAUACCUUGCUGUUUUGACGUUACCGACAGAAUAAGCACCGGCUAACUCUGUGCCAGCCGCCGCCGUAAUAC
rnacentral:rRNA from 1 species